AACGAACGCUGGCGGCAUGCCUAACACAUGCAAGUCGAACGAGACCUUCGGGUCUAUUGGCGCACGGGUGCGUAACGCGUGGGAACCUGCCCUUAGGUUCGGCAUAACCCCCCGAAAGGGGUGCUACUACCGGAUAUUGUCUUUGGACCAAGGAUUUAUCGCCUUGGGUUGUGGCGGCGUUGGAUUAGCUCGUUGGUAGGGUAAAAGCCUACCAAGGCGACGAUGCCUAGCUGGUCGGAGAGGAGGUUCAGCCACGCUGGGACUGAGACACGGCCCAGACUCCUACGGGAGGAUGCGGUGGGGAAUGUUGGAGAAUGGGCGAAUGCCUGAUCCAGCAAUGCGGGGUGAGUGAUGAAGGCCUUAGGGUUGUAAAGCUCUUUUACCCGGGAUGAUAAUGACAGUACCGGGAGAAGAAGCUCCGGCUAACUACGUG
rnacentral:rRNA from 1 species